AUUGAACGCUGGCGGCAGGCCUAACACAUGCAAGUCGAGCGGAUGAAGGGAGCUUUCUCCUGGAUUCAGCGGCGGACGGGUGAGUAAUGCCUAGGAAUCUGCCUGGUAGUUGGGGAUAACGUCCGGAAACGGGCGCUAAUACCGCAUACGUCCUGAGGUAGAAAGUGGGGGAUCUUCGGACCUCACGCUAUCAGAUGAGCCUAGGUCGGAUUAGCUAGUUGGUGGGGUAAGGGCCUACCAAGGCGACGAUCCGUAACUGGUCUGAGAGGAUGAUCAGUCACACUGGAACUGAGACACGGUCCAGACUCCUACGGGAGGCAGCAGUGGGGAAUAUUGGACAAUGGGCGAAAGCCUGAUCCAGCCAUGCCGCGUGUGUGAAGAAGGUCUUCGGAUUGUAAAGCACUUUAAGUUGGGAGGAAGGGAAGUAAGUUAAUACCUUGCUGUUUUGACGUUACCAACAGAAUAAGCACCGGCUAACUUCGUG
rnacentral:rRNA from 1 species